CGCGGCCUAUCAGCUUGUUGGUGAGGUAAUGGCUCACCAAGGCGACGACGGGUAGCCGGCCUGAGAGGGCGACCGGCCACACUGGGACUGAGACACGGCCCAGACUCCUACGGGAGGCAGCAGUGGGGAAUAUUGCACAAUGGGCGCAAGCCUGAUGCAGCGACGCCGCGUGAGGGAUGACGGCCUUCGGGUUGUAAACCUCUUUCAGCAGGGAAGAAGCGCAAGUGACGGUACCUGCAGAAGAAGCGCCGGCUAACUACGUGCCAGCAGCCGCGGUAAUACGUAGGGCGCAAGCGUUGUCCGGAAUUAUUGGGCGUAAAGAGCUCGUAGGCCGCUUGUCACGUCGGGUGUGAAAGCCCGGGGCUUAACCCCGGGUCUGCAUUCGAUACGGGCUAGCUAGAGUGUGGUAGGGGAGAUCGGAAUUCCUGGUGUAGCGGUGAAAUGCGCAGAUAUCAGGAGGAACACCGGUGGCGAAGGCGGAUCUCUGGGCCAUUACUGACGCUGAGGAGCGAAAGCGUGGGGAGCGAACAGGAUUAGAUACCCUGGUAGUCCACGCCGUAAACGGUGGGAACUAGGUGUUGGCGACAUUCCACGUCGUCGGUGCCGCAGCUAACGUAUUAAGUUCCCCGCCUGGGGAGUACGG
rnacentral:rRNA from 1 species